rnacentral:rRNA from 1 species
UCUAGUGAUGAUAGCGGAGGGGAAACACCCGUUCCCAUCCCGAACACGGAAGUUAAGCCCUCCAGCGCCGAUGGUAGUUGGGGCCAGCGCCCCUGCAAGAGUAGGUCGGAGGAUUAGCU